rfam:Melissococcus plutonius ATCC 35311 plasmid pMP1 DNA, complete genome.
AUAUAGUAAAUCAUUAGAGAUAAGUAAUUAGGUUUAUUUUUUCAGAAAGCUAGUAGUUGAUGUAAACUAGUAAAAUAACUUAAUGAAAUCCACUCUACUAUAAGAAAAUAGAGAAAUAAUCUAUUUCGGUCAGUUGCCGUUAUCUACAUAAUUGAGUGCAAUAUUAAAUUAGUUUAUCUAAUUUUAUUGAAUUUGGGUGGUACCGCGGAUUUAAGCUUAUCCGCUCCAAUG